AUUGAACGCUGGCGGCAUGCCUUACACAUGCAAGUCGAACGGUAACGGGCCUUCGGGUGCCGACGAGUGGCGAACGGGUGAGUAAUGCAUCGGAACGUACCUUUCAGUGGGGGAUAACGUAGCGAAAGUUACGCUAAUACCGCAUAUUCUGUGAGCAGGAAAGCAGGGGAUCGCAAGACCUUGCGCUGAUUGAGCGGCCGAUGUCAGAUUAGCUAGUUGGUGAGGUAAAGGCUCACCAAGGCGACGAUCUGUAGCGGGUCUGAGAGGAUGAUCCGCCACACUGGAACUGAGACACGGUCCAGACUCCUACGGGAGGCAGCAGUGGGGAAUUUUGGACAAUGGGGGGCAACCCUGAUCCAGCCAUGCCGCGUGAGUGAAGAAGGCCUUCGGGUUGUAAAGCUC
rnacentral:rRNA from 1 species